rnacentral:tRNA from 1 species
UGGGGCUCAGUGGUAGAGUGCUUGCCUUGCAUGCAUGAGGUCCUGGGUUCGAUUCCUCAGCA